GAUGAACGCUGGCGGCGUGCCUAAUACAUGCAAGUCGAGCGAACGGACGAGAAGCUUGCUUCUCUGAUGUUAGCGGCGGACGGGGGAGUAACACGUGGAUAACCUACCUAUAAGACUGGGAUAACUUCGGGAAACCGGAGCUAAUACCGGAUGAUAUUUUGAACCGCAUGGUUCAAAAGUGAAAGACGGUCUUGCUGUCACUUAUAGAUGGAUCCGCGCUGCAUUAGCUAGUUGGUAAGGUAACGGCUUACCAAGGCAACGAUGCAUAGCCGACCUGAGAGGGUGAUCGGCCACACUGGAACUGAGACACGGUCCAGACUCCUACGGGAGGCAGCAGUAGGGAAUCUUCCGCAAUGGGCGAAAGCGUGACGGAGCAACGCCGCGUGAGUGAUGAACGUGUCCGGAUCGUAAAACUCUGUUAUUAGGGAAGAACAUAUGUGUAAGUCACUGUGCACAUCUUGACGGUACCUAAUCAGAAAGCCACGGCUAACUACGUG
rnacentral:rRNA from 1 species